AAAGGAGAACGGGCGCGUGAUGGCAAGAAAGACAGGUCGGGCAAGGAGGAAAAUCGGACUUAGUGAUCCGGUGGUUCGGCGUGGAAGGGCCAUCGCUCAACGGAUAAAAGCUACCCUGGGGAUAACAGGCUUAGCUCCCCCAAGAGUCCACAUCGACGGGGAGGUUUGGCACCUCGAUGUCGGCUCAUCACAUCCUGGGGCGGUAGUAGGUCCCAAGGGUUGGGCUGUUCGCCCAUUAAAGUGGUACGCGAGCUGGGUUCA
rnacentral:rRNA from 1 species